rnacentral:lncRNA from 1 species
AGCCCCUAGCGCAGACGGCGGAGAGCAGAGAGGGAGCGCGCCUUGGCUCGCUGGCCUUGGCGGCGGCUCCUCAGGAGAGCUGGGGCGCCCACGAGAGGAUCCCUCACCCGGGUCUCUCCUCAGGGAUGACAUCAUCCGUCCACCUCCUUGUCUUCAAGGACCACCUCCUCUCCAUGCUGAGCUGCUGCCAAGGGGCCUGCUGCCCAUCUACACCUCACGAGGGCACUAGGAGCACGGUUUCCUGGAUCCCACCAACAUACAAAGCAGCCACUCACUGACCCCCAGGACCAGGAUGGCAAAGGAUGAAGAGGACCGGAACUGACCAGCCAGCUGUCCCUCUUACCUAAAGACUUAAACCAAUGCCCUAGUGAGGGGGCAUUGGGCAUUAAGCCCUGACCUUUGCUAUGCUCAUACUUUGACUCUAUGAGUACUUUCCUAUAAGUCUUUGCUUGUGUUCACCUGCUAGCAAACUGGAGUGUUUCCCUCCCCAAGGGGGUGUCAGUCUUUGUCGACUGACUCUGUCAUCACCCUUAUGAUGUCCUGAAUGGAAGGAUCCCUUUGGGAAAUUCUCAGGAGGGGGACCUGGGCCAAGGGCUUGGCCAGCAUCCUGCUGGCAACUCCAAGGCCCUGGGUGGGCUUCUGGAAUGAGCAUGCUACUGAAUCACCAAAGGCACGCCCGACCUCUCUGAAGAUCUUCCUAUCCUUUUCUGGGGGAAUGGGGUCGAUGAGAGCAACCUCCUAGGGUUGUUGUGAGAAUUAAAUGAGAUAAAAGAGGCCUCAGGCAGGAUCUGGCAUAGAGGAGGUGAUCAGCAAAUGUUUGUUGAAAAGGUUUGACAGGUCAGUCCCUUCCCACCCCUCUUGCUUGUCUUACUUGUCUUAUUUAUUCUCCAACAGCACUCCAGGCAGCCCUUGUCCACGGGCUCUCCUUGCAUCAGGUAGGGGCUUUGCAGAGACCAUCGACGGGCUGACUUGACCAAGCUUCUUGAAAGGCCUGUCUACACUUGCUGUCUUCCUUCCUCACCUCCAAUUUCCUCUUCAACCCACUGCUUCCUGACUCGCUCUACUCCGUGGAAGCACGCUCACAAAGGGCUAAUCUCGGGCCUUGUCGAAGGAAGAGGCUGCAGACGUUAAUGAGGUUAGCUGCUGGAUUCCAGUAUUCGUCGCAUAAGGAUCCUUCUUUGUCUGCGAAGGAAAAACACACUGAUUAUCAUAAUGAGGCACGUGGGCCGUGGCCCGGCUGGGUCGGCUGAAGAACUGCGGAUGGAAGCUGCGGAAGAGGCCCUGAUGGGGCCCACCAUCCCGGACCCAAGUCUUCUUCCUGGCGGGCCUCUCGUCUCCUUCCUGGUUUGGGCGGAAGCCAUCACCUGGAUGCCUACGUGGGAAGGGACCUCGAAUGUGGGACCCCAGCCCCUCUCCAGCUCGAAAUCCCUCCACAGCCACGGGGACACCCUGCACCUAUUCCCACGGGACAGGCUGGACCCAGAGACUCUGGACCCGGGGCCUCCCCUUGAGUAGAGACCCGCCCUCUGACUGAUGGACGCCGCUGACCUGGGGUCAGACCCGUGGGCUGGACCCCUGCCCACCCCGCAGGAACCCUGAGGCCUAGGGGAGCUGUUGAGCCUUCAGUGUCUGCAUGUGGGAAGUGGGCUCCUUCACCUACCUCACAGGGCUGUUGUGAGGGGCGCUGUGAUGCGGUUCCAAAGCACAGGGCUUGGCGCACCCCACUGUGCUCUCAAUAAAUGUGUUUCCUGUCUUAACAAAAA